GUCCUGCUCAAGUACCGCUGUUGCUUACAGUGGAGAUCCGACCCGACCUUGUUUGGAGCUGCCAAGCAGGACAUCAACCUUGCCUGGAGCAACACAACUGGUCCUUCUAGUUUGUUGUGCAGGUCCUGCUCAAGUACCGCUGUUGCCUACAGUGGAGAUCCGACCCAACCUUGUUUGGAGCCGCCAAGCAGGACAUCAACCUUGCCUGGAGCAACACAGCUGGUCCUUCUUGUUUGUUGUGCAGGCAGAGUGUGCCAAUGGCACCCCAUAUGAUGGCAUCAUCUCAACCAACAUCAAACAUCUGUAACUAUUUCAAAAUAUCACCAAAUGAAAAUUUUGCCAAUUGCAACCUGUGCCCAGCUAAAAUAUCCAGAGGAAAAGACUCCCAUACCACCUCAGCUAGCUAUGUGGAAACAUUUGAAAACAAAACAUUUCUCCAAGGAACUGAAAGGCACACCAUCACCACUAUUGCGUCCAGCUUCCCCCUCAGACCCUCGGUCUAUCAGUGAGGAUUUAACAUCCGAAGACCUAGAUGAAGAAUUAGCUUUUGUUCACAGUCCGGUAUCAACGUCUAGUCCAGCUCCUAGUCCAGGAUCAUCAGAGUCAUCGUUUACAGCAAGUCUGUUCAAACCACCCCCACGGAAACGCAAAGCAGUAACACCACCUUCUCAGCAAUGGACUAUGCCAGCCUUACUAGACAAAAAUUCUAAUUUUCAAACCAGGAGACAAAAGAGCUAAAACAGUUACACGAUUAGUCGCUGAAAUGAUCUGCCAGGA